rnacentral:rRNA from 1 species
GUGGGGAAUCUUCCGCAAUGGGCGAAAGCCUGACGGAGCAACGCCGCGUGAAUGAAGAAGGCCUUCGGGUCGUAAAGUUCUGUCUUCAGGGACGAAUGCGUAUAUGCGAAUAGUUUAUACGUUGACGGUACCUGAGGAGGAAGCUCCGGCUAACUACGUGCCAGCAGCCGCGGUAAUACGUAGGGAGCAAGCGUUGUCCGGAAUUACUGGGCGUAAAGGGCGCGUAGGCGGGAACUUAAGUCAGAUGUGAAAACUCCGGGCUCAACUUGGAGACUGCAUUUGAAACUGAGUGUCUUGAGGGCAGGAGAGGAAAGUGGAAUUCCUAGUGUAGCGGUGAAAUGCGUAGAUAUUAGGAGGAACACCAGUGGCGAAGGCGACUUUCUGGACUGUACCUGACGCUGAGGCGCGAAAGCGUGGGGAGCAAACGGGAUUAGAUACCCCAGUAGUCC